AGUUUUCUAUCUCUAUGUAUAUAUAAUGACUAUUUUAAUAUAAUACCUUUGUUCAUAUAAUGAGAAGGGUAAAAUUGUUUUUUUAGGACUUUACAUUUUUUAGGAAUGUUCUGUCACUUGGUUUGUUGCACGAGGAGCAAUUAACAAAUAGCAUUCACACAAUCAGUUGGUGUGGAAUCCACUUCAAUGAUUAUAUAAUGGAUAUUUUAUUUAAUAGCAUCGGUACCCAAUUUGUAUACAUAUCAUCGGUACCCAAUUUCUUGCUCACUGUAAAACUAAUGAGUGUUUUUUUGAGGGGUAUAAAUAUGUACUCUAUUCUCUGUUAGUUGCAAUAUUGAUCUUUUGCCAAUACUUAACAUGUGAAAUUCAACGGUGCAAUACUUAAUUGCUGUGGUGCUACCAGAUUGGUGGAGAAAGCUUGAGAAUUUAUUUACCAUUUAAAGAUCGAAGGAAAAGCUCUAUUCAUCCUCCAUGUAGAAGAGGAAAAGAAUAGCGUACUGCUUUUAAUCCUCAAAGAAGAACCAUCCUAAAAUUCCUAAUAAAAUAAUUGUGAAAGGCCAGUUAGAACUAUUGGGUGCAUUUGAUAUUGAAGAUAAAGCCUCUGAAAUUUGAUGUGAGCCCAAAUCAAGUGACAAGAAACAAUAUCAGAAGUGAAAAGAAAGAAGAUAUUUGAUGCGGUUUCAGUACUUCUGGUUGUUUUUCUAUUGAAUUUGAGCAAUGUUGAUGCCCAAAAAGCGCGUGUUUUGGACUACUUUGAGUACUCUGCUAUGAGCUGCAGAGCUCACAGCGCCAGCUUAACAGAUUUUGGAGGAGUUGGUGAUAGAAGCAUCUUCAAUACAGAGGCAUU